rnacentral:rRNA from 1 species
GACGAACGCUGGCGGCGUGCUUAACACAUGCAAGUCGAACGGAAAGGCCCUGCUUUUGUGGGGUGCUCGAGUGGCGAACGGGUGAGUAACACGUGAGUAACCUGCCCUUGACUUUGGGAUAACUUCAGGAAACUGGGGCUAAUACCGGAUAGGAGCUCCUGCUGCAUGGUGGGGGUUGGAAAGUUUCGGCGGUUGGGGAUGGACUCGCGGCUUAUCAGCUUGUUGGUGGGGUAGUGGCUUACCAAGGCUUUGACGGGUAGCCGGCCUGAGAGGGUGACCGGCCACACGGGAACUGAGACACGGGCCAGAGUCAUACGGGAGGCAGCAGUGGGGACUAGGGGACAAGGGGCGCAAGCCGGAUCCAGCGAUACCGGGUGGGAGACGGAGGCCUUCGGGUGGGAAAGGCGUGUUGUGGGGAAAGAAAAGCAGCAGGUGAAUACCCAGCUGGUCUGACGGGACCCAAAGAAUAAGCACCGGCUAACUUCGUG